AUUGAACGCUGGCGGCAUGCCUUUCACAUGCAAGUCGAACGGCAGCACGGGGCAACCUGGUGGCGAGUGGCGAACGGGUGAGUAAUGCAUCGGAACGUACCUUUCAGUGGGGGAUAACGUAGCGAAAGUUACGCUAAUACCGCAUAUUCUGUGAGCAGGAAAGCAGGGGAUCGCAAGACCUUGCGCUGAUUGAGCGGCCGAUGUCAGAUUAGCUAGUUGGUGAGGUAAAGGCUCACCAAGGCGACGAUCUGUAGCGGGUCUGAGAGGAUGAUCCGCCACACUGGAACUGAGACACGGUCCAGACUCCUACGGGAGGCAGCAGUGGGGAAUUUUGGACAAUGGGGGCAACCCUGAUCCAGCCAUGCCGCGUGAGUGAAGAAGGCCUUCGGGUUGUAAAGCUCUUUCGGCCGGGAAGAAAUCGCACGGGCUAAUACCCUGUGUGGAUGACGGUACCGGAAUAAGAAGCACCGGCUAACUCUGUGCCAGCCGCCGCGGUAAAAC
rnacentral:rRNA from 1 species